ACGCUCGACACCUACGGGAAGCAGCAGUUGGGAAUAUUGGACAAUGGAGGAAACUCUGAUCCAGUGACGCCGCGUGAAGGAAGAAGGUCUUCGGAUUGUAAACUUAUUUUGUCAGGGAAGAAAAAUGACUGUACCUGAAGAAAAAGCACCGGCUAACUACGUACCAGCAGCCGCGGUAAUCUGAGCGGGCUGGCAAGGC
rnacentral:rRNA from 1 species